GCUAGGAGUGGUGGUGUACACCUGUAGUCCCAGCUACUUGGGAGGCUGAGGUAGGAGGAUUGCUUGAGCCCAGGAGGUCAAGGCUACAGUGGCCUGAGAUUGUGCCACUGCACUCCAGCCUGGGCGACAGAGCAAGACCCUGUCUCAA
rnacentral:SRP_RNA from 1 species